GUUAGAAUAGUUUAUAAAAACACUGAAUUGUGGUUUCAGAGAUAUACUAUUGUAUUUUUAACA
rnacentral:tRNA from 1 species